GACGAACGCUGGCGGCGUGCUUAACACAUGCAAGUCGAACGGAAAGGCCCUGCUUUUGUGGGGUGCUCGAGUGGCGAACGGGUGAGUAACACGUGAGUAACCUGCCCUUGACUUUGGGAUAACUUCAGGAAACUGGGGCUAAUACCGGAUAGGAGCUCCUGCUCCAUGGUGGGGGUUGGAAAGUUUCGGCGGUUGGGGAUGGACUCGCGGCUUAUCAGCUUGUUGGUGGGGUAGUUGCUUACCAAGGCUUUGACGGGUAGCCGGCCUGAGAGGGUGACCGGCCACAUUGGGACUGAGAUACGGCCCAGACUCCUACGGGAGGCAGCAGUGGGGAAUAUUGCACAAUGGGCGGAAGCCUGAUGCGGCAACGCCGCGUGCGGGAUGACGUCCUUCGGGUGGUAAACCGCUUUCGCCUGUGACGAAGCGUGAGUGACGGUAAUGGGUAAAGAAGCACCGGCUAACUACGUG
rnacentral:rRNA from 1 species